rnacentral:rRNA from 1 species
CCUACGGGGAGCAGCAGUGGGGGAUAUUGCACAAUGGGGGGAACCCUGAUGCAGCGACGCCGCGUGGGUGAAGGAGGGUUUCGGAGCGUAAAGCCCUAUCGGCAGGGAAGAAGGAGGACGGUACCUGACUAAGAAGCCCCGGCUAACUACGUGCCAGCAGCCGCGGUAAUACGUAGGGGGCAAGCGUUAUCCGGAUUUACUGGGUGUAAAGGGGGCGCAGACGGCAGCGCAAGCCAGGAGUGAAAGCCCGGGGCCCAACCCCGGGACUGCUCUUGGAACUGCGCGGCUGGAGUGCAGGAGGGGCAGGCGGAAUUCCUGGUGUAGCGGUGAAAUGCGUAGAUAUCAGGAGGAACACCGGUGGCGAAGGCGGCCUGCUGGACUGCGACUGACGUUGAGGCCCGAAAGCGUGGGGAGCAAACAGGAUUAGAUACCCCAGUAGUC